GCUGUAAGCUGGUUCCUGUCUACCUUUGCGCAUCAUCAACUUGCGAUAUGAGAGACGGGACCCAGCUUAUCGGUGAGUUGUGCGGCGACCGGGUUGUGCGAACGUGGACUGAGAGCACACAGUAGCUGACAGAUGCCAAGGUUGCUCUAACCAUGAUGUCCAACUCUACCCCCACCACUGGAACAUGUACUUACAUCGAGGACAAAUGUUAGAUUGAGGAUAUGAAUUGCAUCUACAAUGGAAAAUAGUAUCUUCUCACUGGUCUGACAAACGCUAGAUGACCGUGUUUACAUCCUCAGAGAUGCAGGCUCCAAACGUCCCCACUACGGACAGUGCUGCAUGUUCACCAGCACCAUUGUGUAAUAUUGAUGCGGAGAAACAUAGUCCUCAAAAGAAGGAACACAAGUGUCACAAAUGUAUAGUGUGUUUGAAAGAGUUCAAACGCAACGUUAGCCUUAAAGAUCAUAUGUCCAUACACACGGGGGUGCUUACUACUAGAGUGAAGACAAAACAAGAACAUCGUCACAAAUGUAUGGUAUGUGAGAAAAGGUUCCGGUCGCCAUAUGCGAUGAAACAACAUAUGAAUGUACACACAGGAAUGUGUAACUAUGCAUGCAGAAUUUGUGGAAAGAAAUUUUUUCAGCGUAGGAAUUUGCAGAACCACAGUUUGACCCACUCCACCGACAGGCCACAUGAAUGCAAGCUGUGUACAAGUACAUUUAAGAGGCCACACCAUUUGGCGAAUCAUAUGUUUUGUGUACAUGAGAGAAAACAGAAAAUAAAAUAUAGUGAUUCCAAUAGAUACUACUUUCCAUAUGAUGGAAGUGACAUGAGACAUGCAAAUAAAAACCAUGUUGGAGAUAUCAACGGAACUGAUGAAAAGCCAUUCAAGUGUAAACUUUGUGAUGCACAAUUUAUACAAUGUUGGUCUCUCAGUGUCCAUGUCAACACUGUGCAUUUAGAUAAGAGACCGUAUUUAUGUAGCAUUUGUGGCAAAACAUUUAAAUCCAAUAGUGCAUUGCAGACUCAUUCUGUCAUUCAUAUGGAAGCAAGGAAAGUCAGUGCUGAAUGUAAUGUAUGUCAGAAGAUGGUGAAAAUAAACGCCAUGUAUAUUCACAUGAAAUCCCAUGAGGAGAAAAAGUUUUUGUGUAAUUUUUGUGGGAAAAGGUUUAGUUUGAAACACCAACUUAGCAAUCACGAGAAGAGCCACCUAGGACUGAAAGCACAUGCCUGUGAACUGUGUGACAGGAGAUUCACUCUCCCUCAUCAGCUGAGGGCCCACAGAAAGACCCACUCAGAAUCCAAGAAGGAGAAAUGACAAGGCUACCUCUUACUCCAAACUGCACAGAGAACCCUAUUUACAGUUGGCUUUCCAUACCUCCAUGUGUCCAUUGAUGCAGGAAUGCCAUAACCAUUACACCAGGAGACACAUUGUUUUUCUUCAAGGCUACAAUGAAUGCAUACUCCAUACCUCCAUUUGUCCAUUGUUGCAGUAAUGCCAUAACCAUUACACCAGGAGACACUUUGUUUUUCUUCAAGGCUACAAUGAAUGCAUACUCCAUACCUCCAUUUGUCCAUUGGUGGACAUACACAUUGUGCCAGAAGAGCCACCUCAUUUCUCUGCAUGGCUAUAAUGAAUACGUAUGGAAUGGUACCAGAUACAAACAUGACCAUGCCAGAUCAUGUCAUAUGAGUUCGGACAUGGCUACCAAAUCCACCAAAUAAAUCCAACAUGGGUCAUGCAACUGAUAAUACCAUGUAUUUGUUAUCUUUGUCAUUUCUGUGUUACCUCCCCUUCUAGUGACACAUAUUCUAAUGUGAAAAAGAUAAGCUCCCAAACUAUUUUAUUUUGUUAUUAUUCUAUCAGUUAUUUAUAAAAUUGUUUCAGCACAUUACUGUCGGUGAAUCGUAAAUAAUGUUUCACUGCAAAAUAACAAAUCAUUUUAAAGUGAUUUGAUGGUUGAUACAUUUAUGAGAGAGAAUAUAUAGAUGUCUUCUUUAUUAUAAGGAACACAACUUUUACAAUAUAUGCUUAUAUUUUUAUAGGUGUACAGUUGAACUGAAAAACUAUUAUUGACACUAGUAGUUAAUAGUACUUAUGUAUUAUGAAUAGUUUUUAGGAAACAUGU